UGGCUGAGAUGGUAAAGAAUCUGCCUGGAAUGCAGGAUACCCGGGUUCAAUCCCUGG
rnacentral:tRNA from 1 species